GUUGCCUCCAAACACGACCGGUGAACAAGUAACAUAAAGCUGUCGGGAAGGAGUUUCCUCCCCGACCCCACCGGCUCCGACCCUUUGGUCGUGUGUCGGAACACGGCGCGGAUUGUCGCCAAGGAACACUGAAUUUGCUUAGGCAGACGACAUUAUGUCGGUGCUGCUGAUGCCAAAAGAAACC
rnacentral:misc_RNA from 1 species